rnacentral:rRNA from 1 species
ACGAACGCUAGCGGCAUGCCUCAAACAUGCAAGUCGAACGAGAAAGGGACUUCGGUCCCAAAUACAGUGGCGCACGGGUGAGUAACACGUAGCUAACCUACCCUUUUGCUGGGGAUAACUCCGGGAAACCGGAGCUAAUACCGAAUAAUCUAAUACGGCUCGCGGGCUGUAUUGGUAAAGCCUUCGGGCGCGAAAGGAUGGGGCUGCGGUCCAUUAGCUAGUUGGUGGGGUAAUGGCCCACCAAGGCGACGAUGGAUAGCUGGUCUGAGAGGAUGAUCAGCCACACUGGAACUGACACACGGUCCAGACUCCCACGGGAGGCAGCAGUUGGGAAUAUUGGACAAUGGGCGAAAGCCUGAUCCAGCAAUGCCGCGUGAGUGAUGAAGGCCCUCGGGUCGUAAAGCUCUUUCAGCAGGGAAGAAGAGAAAUUUGACGGUACCUGAAGAAGAAGCACCGGCUAACUCCGU